CACCGCGGUUAUACGAGUGGCCCAAGUUGAAAGUUACCGGCGUAAAGAGUGGUUAGGGAAACAAAAAACUAAAGCCGAACACCCUCCAGGCCGUUAUACGCUUCUGAGGGCACGAAGCUCCACUACGAAAGUGGCUUUAACACACCUGAACCCACGACAACUAAGAUACAAACUGGGAUUAGAUACCCCACUAUGCUUAGCCGUAAACUUUGAUAUUAACUCACCCCUAAUAUCCGCCAGGGGACUACAAGCGUUAGCUUAAAACCCAAAGGACUUGGCGGUGCCUCAUACCCACCUAGAGGAGCCUGUUCUUGAAUCGAUAAUCCCCGUUCAACCUCACCACCCCUUGCUCGACCCGCCUAUAUACCGCCGUCGUCAGCUCACCCUGUGAAGGACUUAAAGUGAGCAAAAUGGGCAAAGCCCAAAACGUCAGGUCAAGGUGCAGCGUAUGGGGUGGGAAGAAAUGGGCUACAUUACCUAACUCAGGUCAUUACGGAGGGAGCUGUGAAACCAGUUCUUGAAGGUGGAUUUAGCAGUAAGGGGAAAAUAGAGAGUUCCUCUGAAGCCGGCUCUGAGGCGCGCACAUACCGCCCGUCACUCUCUCCAGGUUCACUUUCUUUGGUUCUUAACAAGAUUUCCGAACAAAGGGGAGGCAAGUCGUAACAUGGUAAGUGUACCGGAAGGUGCACUUGGGACAACCGGGGCGUAGCUAAA
rnacentral:rRNA from 1 species